rnacentral:rRNA from 1 species
GACGUAGGGCGCGAGCGUUGUCCGGAUUUAUUGGGCGUAAAGAGCUCGUAGGCGGCUUGUCGCGUCGACCGUGAAAACUUGGGGCUCAACCCCAAGCCUGCGGUCGAUACGGGCAGGCUCGAGUUCGGUAGGGGAGACUGGAAUUCCUGGUGUAGCGGUGAAAUGCGCAGAUAUCAGGAGGAACACCGGUGGCGAAGGCGGGACUCUGGGCCGAUACUGACGCUGAGGAGCGAAAGCGUGGGGAGCGAACAGG